rnacentral:rRNA from 1 species
UAGGGAAUUUUCCACAAUGGGCGAAAGCCUGAUGGAGCAACGCCGCGUGCAGGAUGAAGGCCUUCGGGUUGUAAACUGCUUUUCUUUGUGACGAUUAUGACGGUAGCAGAGGAAUAAGGACCUGCUAACUACGUGCCAGCAGCCGCGGUCAUACGUAGGGUCCAAGCGUUAUCCGGAAUUACUGGGCGUAAAGAGUUGCGUAGGUGGCAGAGUAAGUUGGUAGUGAAAUCCUGGGGCUCAACCCUUUAAACAUUAUCAAAACUACUCAGCUAGAGGAUGAGAGAGGUCACUGGAAUUUCUAGUGUAGGAGUGAAAUCCGUAGAUAUUAGAAGGAACACCGAUGGCGUAGGCAGGUGACUGGCUCAUUCCUGACACUAAGGCACGAAAGCGUGGGGAGCGAACGGGAUUAGAUACCCCGGUAGUCC